AAAUUUAGGUUAACCACCCCAAACCAAGGACCUUCAAAGCCCUAAAUAUGGAUACAACCCCCAU
rnacentral:tRNA from 1 species